rnacentral:lncRNA from 1 species
AUUGGGCUGAAUCCGGGGUGACUGUGCGGCAGGGGGCUUUCGGCUUCGAGGGAGAGAGUCUCACCAUUUCUUACCUAUAGGAAAAAUACCCAUUGCGCAUCUGAGAAUUUAGAGGAUGAGGUUUCAUCAUGUUCCCCAGGCUGGUCUCAUACUCCUGAGUUCAAGCAAUCCACCUGCCUUGGCCACCCAAAGUGCUGGGAUUACAGGUGUGAGCUACUGCGUCUAGCCCUCUUCCAUCGUUUUCAAGGAGGGAUCAGGGGUCAGCUGUUCGCAACUUGGUACGAAUGAGUUUGUCAUUGGAUCACCUCCCUUGGGAGGAAGUCUUGCCCUGGGGAUGUAGGAACAAGAACUAACAUGCUCAGUGCCUCCUAACAGCCCCACUUUACCUAGUGUGUCAAUUCCCCACAGACAAGUAAACUGAGGCCCAGGAAGCAUCGUUGCCUGAGGUUGCCGAGUUGAUAAGCAAAGGUCUCAGUCCCUGUGGACUCAGAGCCUGGGCUUCUCCCCUGGGACCCUGCAGCUCCACCGGCAGUUAUUCCAAUUCUUCCUCAGGUGUUGGAGGCUUGUAUGGAAACUCCUUGCUUCUGUCUCUCGCUCAGCCCUUAGAAAACCUCCAAGAGAUGGCCACUCCUGCCUGUGGUGCAGAGAACGCCCAGGCAGAAGACCCUUGGAGGCUCAGACAGAGAACUCACUGCACUUUCAGUCAUCCUGGGCUGGCUCCCCGGCCCCUCUCACGUUCUUUAUGGAUUUGACCCAAAGUCUUCCAGAUGGAUGGAGCUGUGGGCACUGAGUCUGGGAAUGUCUCAGCCCACCUUGGCUCCCUUCUCCAGCAGGAGUGGAGGUGUGUGAUGUCAAACAGGCCCAGCCUCUCUCUCAGACCCGGUUCUGGGCCCACACAGCCCCUUCUUCCUGAAAGCAGAGGUGGCAGUAAGAGGAUGGCUUUGGCCUUUGAAUGUUCUCAAGCGAUCCAAGUUCAGAGUAUACUGUUGCUGUCCUCUGUCCCUGAAGCUUCUCUCCUACUCCUUGGACAAACUCACUUCUCCCCUCAGGGACUUCUCUCAUGUAGCAGAGUGUACACCUGCUGCCCCAGCAAGGCCUUCACAAUGAUCCAAGCCUGGCCUGUUGCUCCAGCUUCUGGAACCUCCCAUGGCCUUCGGUCUACUUGAAUGCUCCUGAGGCCAGGUAGCUCAUCACUGCCGGAGGACCUGUUGCCACUCACUUCUAGCCACAAGAAAUGUCUGCCUGUCCUGAGCAAAACCCACCUUGGAGGAACUUCUUUACUCCCUUGUUGAAUUUUUGGCUCUACCAAAUAAACAUGAAUUGCUUCCCUGUGAAAGACCUCCAAACACUUUCCUCUGCCUGUGUGUUGUUCAUCAGUGGUGUAGCCGAAUCCAGGGCGAGGAGGACCUGCAUUUUAGCUGGUGUUAACCAGAGUGGAGGGAGGAUUAGGAGUGGCCUUUGGGUGGACAGGAGGUAUGACAGGCUGCAGAUGGUGGAGCAAGCCUUGCUGUGCCCCCGACCCAGCUCGACAUGCACACGUGGGUGGUUCUGGCUCCCUGGGUGGGAAGAAUGGUGGGGUGGGUGGGCAUUGUGAGCCUGGCAACCAGACCCCACGGAAUAGCAGGGAGGAGGAGGAAGGAGGACGCCCUCCAAGAAACAGUGGAGUGAAACCUUAGUGCCUACUUCACAGCCCAUCUGGGGUCUCUCCCUGCUUGCUUCUGGGCAGAGGGUGUCCAUUAUACCACAAGCACAACCUUGAAAUGUGCUGGAGCAGGAAGUCGCGCAGGACCUCAUUCCCCAGGACUUUCCAUACAUGAGGAAUGCAGGGCUGAGCAGGUGAGAUGCGGCGGUGGGAGGCAUGCCGCCUGCUCCCUCUCCUGAUUCACUGGGGUUUUGGGCUGCAGGCAGUCAGAAGGUCUCAUUUUGGGGGGUUCUCAGCAAUAGAUGGGGAUACAGUAGGAGGGCAAAGUCACAGAAAUUCUCUGCCGGAACUCCAAGACGCAGGGGCUGGGAACCGUCUGCAGGACCCAGACCCAGAGUUGGACCAGGAUUAAAGGUGGUGGGGGGUGUGGGGUGCCGAAUGUGAAGAACAGAACGGAAGUGCAGGAAGACAGCCCGACCUCCAGGAGACACCAUCACUCUCGGUGUUUCCCUCCCUGUGUUUCUUUCUUCCAAGAAAGGGUAUUUCCAAGAGGACAGAUUGGUUGACCAAAAGGCCAUUUUAUUUCUACUUUAUAAAAAUAGAUGAAAGGAGACUUGAAAUUAUUUUGCCUCUUACAUCACUGGGUUUGGGUUCUGGAAGUCCCUGGAGGGUGCGCCUGUAGCCCAGACUUCACAGGUAGACAUGGAGGUCAUGCAGGUCACAUGGCUGGUUGACACCUGUAAAGCUAUGAUGGCCAAGCAGAACUUUGCCGGGUAUCUCUGGUCCUAUUCCCUCCCCCGGGUCAUCUGCCUCCCUCCUGGAAUUGAUUGAUUAAGUGCUGUCCCUCCAUUUCGUCUAAUAGACCACGGGAAGGAUAGGCCAAACAAGAAGGGCCUACUUCAACUUACAAGUCAAGUCACGGUUUCAGAACACCUUAUCUCCAACCUCUGUCCUCACCACAAGCCAGCCCGACAAUGUCCUCAUCCGAUUUUCUCAAAA